rnacentral:lncRNA from 1 species
ACAACUUAAAAUUGAAUAAAAAUUUAAAUAUACAUGUCCUUCAACAAGCAACAUUCUCAACAUGACAAAAAUACAUGUCUACAUGUCUCAACAUGAAAACAAAUACAUGUCUGCUUUUGGCCUUAAGUCUUUUGAUUCUGAUCCGAUCCGAGUGUAGUGUUGUGUUGAGCACUUGAGCUAGUCAAUGAUAGUAGAAUCAUGUUCAUCCUAGCAAACAACAAAAUAGAUAAAUGGUUAAAUCAAUGAUCAGAUUCGAUAACCAAAAUAUAAGAACAUACUAAAGAGUUGAAUCAUGUUACCAUUUCUUCCUCUUCAUCCUCCAAACAAGU